AGCACAGUACUCUGAAGGCAGAGAUCUGACAGUCCUCGUCUGGUAAAACAGGGAAACACUGCUAAGAGACUUCAUAGAAGGCAAUGCAAGAUCCUGAAAUUCAUGAAGGGAAACAAGAAAGGAUUUUUCUUCUCGAUCUUUAUUCAUCCAUCAUAUUUUCCAGGAUCUUUUAAGACUUAGCUUUUAGGUGGCAUCUGCCAGUGUGAAAGCAUGGCAUGCCGGUAUCAUCAGAGCAGGAUGGAGAUAGGAUUUAGCAUUGUGAUGGAUGUUUGGGGCACCUCUAUCCAACUGGCCUUUUGGAUUUUGCCGCGUUAUACGGUCAUUGAGUAUGCUGCUGAUGAUAGACUGACUCAGUUUCAAGGAAUUGGUAAAACGACUCAUUGUGGUUUUUCUUGUUGACUUUCAUUUCAAAGAAUUUGGAGGAGGACCAGGCAGUAUAGGAGAAGACGAGACUCUUGAGGAGAAGCACUUCCACCGUCUAUCCGAGCACGUGAGAUAUCCCAGCAAUAAAGAAAACAGAAAGUAAUCCAAUACAUUUGCCGGGAAACAGUAUGAUUCAGUUCCUAUAGUACAGCAUGUUGCAAUUUCCUUGCAAGUGGCAUCUCUCCCAUGAGUCACCACUGACUCGACCUCCUCUCCAUUACUGGAUAUUGCUUCUCACAUUUACAGGGAACUUACAAACCCUCUUCCUAUUUGUUUCCGGUUUCAUUCUGAGAAAUACAGUUUGAUGUCUGUAUUUUUGUCAGAACUUUGGAAAUAGUCAUUUAGCGCGUCACAUCAGUCACUCAUCUGUCAUUGUGGCUGAGAGCUAGUUUCAGUGAAUAUAUAUAUACAGUGGGGGAUAUUUUUCAUGAGGGGAAUAUUUGAAGUCAUUUGUCAAAUGUGACAGAAAGUGAGGGAUUUGGAGCUUUGUUCUGUGAUUAAAUUUCUUACAAAGGAACAAUUAAGCCUAAAGAAAUCCAUGAAUGGAUGAUUGCUGUAUAUUGUGAUGAUGCACCUUCCCAUUUUGGGUUAAGCAGUUUAAAUGGGGUAGGGAAUCAAUUGAAGAUGACCUCGUUCAGGUCGACCUGUCAAAGAAUCUUCAGACGAAAUGUGCCGUAAAGUGGAGGCCAUGAGUUUGUAAGAUCAUCAGGUUAAAGUCAGUGUUCUAGCUCUUGAAUUAGGCAUUUUAGUUGCACAGUUUCCAGUAUAAUUCAUGAUGUUUCGAUGAUGUCAAAGAUCAGUUCCCAGUGGGUGCCACAAAUGUUGAUGCCUGAUCAAAAAACUUGUCGCCAGCAAUAGACAAUUUAGACAUGCUUAGAGAAAAUCUAGGAGACGUCUAUUCUUAAAUUAUUACAGGUGAUGAAACAUGGUCCUGAGACCAAACAACAGGUCCAUGCUUUUUCUGCAAUGCCCUGCCCUCUCCACUAGGAUGGACUAGGGCUAGGCAUGAUGAUGUUUUCACUUCCUGGUCCUGUCAAUCUUGGCAGUAACAGAAAGAGCAGAGCCUCUAGGUGUAACAGCUAAUUUGCAUAUAUUAAAACAUGAUGUUUUAAUAUAUGCAAAUGAGCACAUAUGAACAUGGGUCCAACACAGAUGUCUUCAGCUGCCAAGGGCACAUGCAGCAGGUCAGCCACAAAUCUGUUGACAUGUCAUUUAAGCAAUGUUUUGGUCUAUAAUGGACCUUUUAUCAAGCCAAAUCUGGUUCAUGUGGAAGAUGAGGAGAGUUCUGAGAAGAUUGGCAUAAUUUUGGGACACUUUGGUGCAACUUGGGUUUCUACAGUUUUUACAACUUGUUUGAAAAGGGUAGAACUUCACAUGAAGUGGUGGGACUUUGCUGGAAAGGGGUUAGCUAAGAUGUGCUAUUUGUGCUACAAUUGCACCGUAAAAUUCUAUCUCAAAGUAAGCCAACCAUUAGUUGGUAUAGGGUUAGAAAAAAGUGUCUAUCCCUGCACUAGAUUUAUCAUCCAGCCUAAGACCCUGUG